UACGUAGGGGGCAAGCGUUAUCCGGAUUUACUGGGUGUAAAGGGAGCGCAGACGGCAGUGCAAGUCUGAUGUGAAAGCCCGGGGCUCAACCCCGGAACUGCAUUGGAAACUGUACAGCUUGAGUGUCGGAGGGGUAAGCGGAAUUCCUAGUGUAGCGGUGAAAUGCGUAGAUAUUAGGAGGAACACCGGUGGCGAAGGCGGCUUACUGGACGAUCACUGACGUUGAGGCUCGAAAGCGUGGGGAGCAAACAGGAUUAGAUACCCUGGUAGUCCCU
rnacentral:rRNA from 1 species